CAUGAUGAUGUGAAUUAGU
rnacentral:miRNA from 1 species